rnacentral:rRNA from 1 species
ACAGUGGACGCGAGCAUCUUUGUUAGUAAGUGUUUAUGAGCGUACGGUGGAUGUCUUGGCACCAGGAGCCGAUGAAGGACGUGGGAGGCUGCGAUAUGCCUCGGGGAGCUGUCAACCGAGCUGUGAUCCGAGGAUUUCCGAAUGGGGAAACCCAGCACGAGUGAUGUCGUGUUACCCGCAUCUGAAUAUAUAGGGUGUGUGGAGGGAACGUGGGGAAGUGAAACAUCUCAGUACCCACAGGAAGAGAAAACAACAUGUGAUUCCGUGAGUAGUGGCGAGCGAAAGCGGAAGAGGCUAAACCGUGUACAUGUGAUACCUGGCAGGGGUUGUGUAUGCGGGGUUGUGGGGUUCAUUGUGUCGGCGCUGCUGAGCCGGCCAACAGUAAGAAAUCAUCGUGUUAGUCGAAGUGGUCUGGAACGGCCUGUCGUAGAGGGUGAGAGUCCCGUAGACGAAAACAUGGUGACUGUUGAUGUGAAUACCCAAGUAGCACCGGGCCCGUGAAAUCUGGUGUGAAUCUGUCGGGACCACCCGAUAAGCCUGAAUACUCCCUGGUGACCGAUAGCGGACAAGUACCGUGAGGGAAAGAUGAAAAGUACCCCGGGAGGGGAGUGAAAUAGUACCUGAAACCGUGCGCUUACAAUCCGUCAGAGCUGAUGCAACCUUUGGUGGUUGAUUGGUGAUGGCGUGCCUUUUGAAGAAUGAGCCUGCGAGUUAGCGGCAUGUCGCGAGGUUAACCCGUGUGGGGUAGCCGUAGCGAAAGCGAGUCCGAAUAGGGCGUUGCAGUGGCAUGUUCUAGACCCGAAGCGGAGUGAUCUACCCAUGGCCAGGGUGAAGCGACGGUAAGACGUCGUGGAGGCCCGAACCCACUUAGGUUGAAAACUGAGGGGAUGAGUUGUGGGUAGGGGUGAAAGGCCAAUCAAACUCCGUGAUAGCUGGUUCUCCCCGAAAUGCAUUUAGGUGCAGCGUCGCGUGUUUCUCACCGGAGGUAGAGCUACUGGAUGGUCUAGGGGGCCCACAAGCUUACCGAAAUCAGCCAAACUCCGAAUGCCGGUGAGUGAGAGCGCGGCAGUGAGACUGCGGGGGAUAAGCUUCGUAGUCGAGAGGGAAACAGCCCAGAUCGCCGGCUAAGGCCCCUAAGCGUGUACUAAGUGGAAAAGGAUGUGGGAUCGCUGAGACAACCAGGAGGUUGGCUUAGAAGCAGCCACCCUUGAAAGAGUGCGUAAUAGCUCACUGGUCAAGUGGUUCUGCGCCGACAAUGUAGCGGGGCUCAAGUACACCGCCGAAGCCGCGGCAUUCACAUAACACCCGCAUGUUUCUACGGAAGUGUGUGCAGUGGUGUGGAUGGGUAGGGGAGCGUCGUGUGGCCAUGGAAGCAUCGGGGUGACCUAGGUGUGGAGGCCAUGCGAGUGAGAAUGCAGGCAUGAGUAGCGAAAGACGAGUGAGAAACUCGUCCGCCGAAUGACCAAGGGUUCCUGGGCCAGGUUAAUCCGCCCAGGGUGAGUCGGGACCUAAGGCGAGGCCGACAGGCGUAGUCGAUGGACAACGGGUUGAUAUUCCCGUACCCGUGUGAACGCGCCCAUGAUGAAUCAUCGGUACUAACCGUCCAGAAGGUUCCUUGUUCCCUUCGGGGGAUUGGGGAUUGGAUGCACGGGAUCUUCGGUGGUAGUAGUCAAGCGAUGGGGUGACGCAGGAAGGUAGUGGGGCCAGUCAGUGGUAAUACUGGUGUAAGCCUGUAGGGCGUGACAUAGGUAAAUCCGUGUCGCAU